ACAUAUUUAAUAUAAAUAUCCAGCGUUUGGCCAGCAGUCAUUUGUCAAAUCAUUAACCAACGUUUCACUCAGGGAAUUAGGAAAAACAGCUGGUCGCCUGACGCCUGCCUUCAGCCAAUCCGGUGCGACUAGUUUUUAAUAUUCAUGAGCCAAGCCUUCAAUUGCGCGCCAGGUUUAAAAAGAUCAAGUCAAAACAGCAUCGCGCGUCUGAACGCGUCGUGUGAGUUAUCAGGGUUUAGUUUGUGUAAUGUGAUGUUUACGGAGCCCGUUUUCGGCCAAGAAGGAGAUAAAACAACAAUGGAGCAGGAAGUGUCCAACUUCAAAUCCAUCAGGGCAAAGUUUCAAGAGGAGAUCCUAGCAAAAAGCAGACCCAUGCUGCCCGAGAAACCCAAACGCCUCCCAAUAGCAUCUUUCGGCCGCUCUGGUUUAAUGACCAUAACCUCGAGUCCAGCUCUGGACACCAAGACCCCCAGCCUACCUCGAGUCAUUUUCCGAGAAGAGCAGAAAGUUCCUUCAGGAAAACGGCCUAUAUCAUUUCCAAGCUUUGCUCACAAAACACCUGAAGAUGGCGGGAACAGGCAUUCGCUUAAAGUCCGACAUUUGCCCCUCGUGUUGCCGAUUUCAACUGAGCCGAAGCACGAUAUCGCUGCUCCUUCUUACAAGAUGAUCACCUCGCCUCUCAAAUGCAUCAAGAAACCAAUGCCUGCACCAUUCAAGCCAAGCAAAAUAUCACUAUGUAGUAAAGAGACUGGAAAACACGGGCUGGAGCACAUAAAGAGCGGCACUUAUGUUCACGCAGAAGAGUCCGCUGAUAAGGCCGUGAAUACAGAACAUGUUGAGAUCCACCAGACGAGGGUGUCAAACCCCGGCUCACAGUCUCCCAGUCCACAGCACCCGUCUACGUCUUCACCUUGCGAAACGUUGACAGAAUCGUCUACUAGCAGUGUAACCCAGUUCUUCGACCAGCAUGUCUUCAGCACACUGGAGAAAGCCAAGAAGAAGCUCUCUCAAAAGAACCUGCUGGUGUGUGGCAGACCAAAGAGCUUCUACCCUAAUAAAGGUGUAACAUCCACUGAAAGUCCGCAGUCUCCUACUGAAUCGGAGCGCUCUCAUCCCGAGUCCAUGUUUCCUGCAAGGACCGGAUGUCCCUUUAACGGUGUCCCUGUUUAUGCCUCCACUUCUCCAUUUCGGUUCAAUAAAACAUCACCAAGUGCCAUCACUCAUAUAAGGCUGAAUGGAGUCACACAGCUAGAAAAGGAUCAUCCUAAAGUACGCAAACCUCUACCUGACCUGGCAACCCUGGGGCCUUCGCCAUUAAAGCCAUCUAGACCUCCGCAUGUCAAUCUCAUCCGAUGCAAAACGCAAGGUCACUCCAUCGACUCAAACGAAAAACACGAACGGGAACCUGAGAUUCUGGCCACCAGAAAUGCAUUAGUUGAGGGUUCAAACGUGCCACCCCCCGAAUUUCCAUAUUUUGAUAGUUUCGCUCAAGAAGCCAAAGAGGGUAAUGCCAUGAACAUAGCAGCUCUGGAAUUAGAGGCGGCAGAAUUUCCAGAGUCAGGUUCUUUGCCGGAUGAAGACGACAGCGUGCCCUUUCAGGCUCCGCUAGUGCAACAUAGUCCUAGUCGUGAUGGUUCACAGAACAUGUGGUCAGGAGAGGUUCUCACCGGAUCUCUAGAGGAAAAGAGAAACGUCAAGAUCUUGUCAUCGGUCGCUCCUUCUGAGCCAGCGAGUGCAGAUGUCGAAGCGAAAGGAUCACACGUCUCAAAUGACUCCAGCGGUGAACAGCAACUUCCAUCAGAAUCAAACUCUUCUCAGCAGGAGCACAGCCAGGAAACCUGUGAUAAUGUCUAUGAGGAUGUGGAGUCGGUCCCCAGAUUCCCUUUCUCUCAAAACUCUCGGAGGCAGAAAGGACCUCCAAAAAACCCGUACGCUGAUAAUGGCCAUGUGAAAGAGGAGGUGCGGAGAAAUAUGUGGCAUGUCACUCCGUGGUCCAGUUCUGAAGACCAAAAUGGCCCAACACAACAUGACAGGAAAGAGCAACUAAGCCCUGAACACUGCGACGAGAAAGAGCAGAAGAAGAAAGAGAAGCAACGUCUGGAAAGGGAGAAGAAACAACAAAAAGAGAAACAGAAAAAGAGGAAUGAGAUGCACAAGAGAUUUAAAAUCACCGGACUGGAGGAACCCAUGUAUCACGCCAGAGUUCUGGUGGCCAGCAAACUGCGUAAACACGACCUGUCCGUCAAGAGCGGAGACGUCAUCAGCAUCAUCCGAACCGUCAACUGCCCCAAAGGAAAGUGGCUAGCCAGAGACGUCAACAACAAAUAUGGCUACAUAUCUGUAAUGAAUGUGGAGUUGAACAUUAAAGAGAUGCUGGAGCUCGGGAAAAGAGCAUCACACGCCGCUGGACGAGGCCAAACGGAUGGAGAUAACCUCAGCUUCAGCAGCAGGUCAUCUCAUCAGAAUCCAAUGCUCACAAUCAGCUUCUCUGAUGACAGUGAAGAGUGGACAUGUGAUGAAGAGACAGUGUCUCCAUCUGCUGAAAAGUUGAGUCAGAACAGAGCCGUCUCUAUGCCUGACAUGUUUUACAGUAACUUAUCUGCUCAUCAUACUGUGAGCGACGGCAGCACGGAGGACAUCAACACACAGAGUGAAGCUCUGCAGAAACUGGCUGUGUUUUUUCAGAACGGCCACGAAAACCUCAUCACCACUACAGAAGAUGAACUACCUUUACCAAAGUAUCCUUUUAUUUCUGAACUGAUUUCAUCCAUAUUUUCGUCCAGUUUGAUUUUACAUAAUGUCUUCUUCACUUUUUCUUCAUUGCAAUAUCAGCUCUGAUGAUGCAAGUAAGUGACUCCAGGAUUUCUCUGUGUAACUCGGGUGAUGGCUGUUACUUCCCCCUUCAGUUCCUAUCGGCUUUUUCAUAUUUUACAAGACUGUUGACUUUCCACAGUAAUUGUUAUUCCUACCAUGGGAGGUCAAUGAGGGCUUAUUUUAAAGUGAACCACUCCUUUAACAUUUGCUCAGAUUUUACACUUCUUUUGUCACGUAUCAAAGUUUCGACUAAAGAAUUUCUGAAUGUCUCUUUUUAGUUUUCUGUCCAACUCGAAACACAUUUUUGGACUUUGUACAUUGGGACAAAUCUUUACAAAACUUGGGGCCGGAUUCACGAAACUGUUCUCAGGACAAAAUAUAAGAUUGUUCUUAUCUUCAUUUUUAUCGUUUUCUUAGUAGCAUGGAUGAACCUCCAUACUUAGAGGCAGACGAGUUUCAGUUUGCAGACGUUGAUCUACUUCCGCCCCCUGCGCUCUACGCCGACUCUCAGUGAGACCGCUG